rnacentral:rRNA from 1 species
CGUAGGUGGCAAGCGUUGUCCGGAUUUAUUGGGUUUAAAGGGUGCGUAGGCGGCUUUCUAAGUCAGUGCUGAAAUAUCCCGGCUUAACCGGGAGGGUGGCAUUGAUACUGGGAAGCUUGAGUAAAGUUGAGGUUGGCGGAAUUGACGGUGUAGCGGUGAAAUGCUUAGAUAUCGUCAAGAACACCUAUUGCGUAGGCAGCUAACUAAGCUUUAACUGACGCUGAGGCACGAAAGUGUGGGGAUCAAACAGGAUUAGAUACCCUGGUAGUCCACACUGUAAACGUUGAUGACUCGCUGUUGGCGAUAUACUGUCAGCGGCUGAGAGAAAUCGUUAAGUCAUCCACCUGGGGAGUACGCCGGCAACGGUG